GAAAAAAUGGCACAGUGAUCGAGUGUUGAAUAAUGAUAUAAAAACUGAAUAGAGGUUCUUCACACACCCCCAUUCGGCGUAGUACCCAGAGAGCUCAAGAUGUGUGGCAGUUUUCGGAUGGAAGCUCGAGAGCCCUUAAGUUCUGAGAAAAUUUGAAGCCCCCAGGGGUGGGGUGGACGCGUGCCGCCCAGUCGACGUCAGCGUGGUCUGUCAUCCUGCUAGUUUGUGAUGUUUUCUGACAGUAGCCUCCAAGAAGCCGUUGUGCGAAGACAGAGUCCUGCAGAGUCCUUCCAGCCUAGGCCUGCAGCGCCAUUUUAUUUAUAUUUUUUAAUAAAAAGUAAAAACAAAAAAACAGACCCACAUUGGAACAGUGAAUCAGUCCCAUAGAGAGGGCCCGUGGACCAUCGCUGUCAUGAGUGAUGCCCUGGCCCUUCUGAAACCAGCCAACCUAAUUACCUGUAUUGUGGAAAUGCGCAUGAGUCCCCAACCCCUUGUUUCUAUACAUUCUAUGUUGUCUUUUAAAAAGUGUGCUUAACAUUGACACAAUAAAUGUUGGAGCUUUAGGUG
rnacentral:lncRNA from 1 species